rnacentral:miRNA from 1 species
GCUGGAUGUGAGCUCCGUUUCC